rnacentral:rRNA from 1 species
UAGCUACAGGCUUAACACAUGCAAGUCGAGGGGCAGCAUGGUCUUAGCUUGCUAAGGCCGAUGGCGACCGGCGCACGGGUGAGUAACACGUAUCCAACCUGCCGUCUACUCUUGGACAGCCUUCUGAAAGGAAGAUUAAUACAAGAUGGCAUCAUGAGUCCGCAUGUUCACAUGAUUAAAGGUAUUCCGGUAGACGAUGGGGAUGCGUUCCAUUAGAUAGUAGGCGGGGUAACGGCCCACCUAGUCUUCGAUGGAUAGGGGUUCUGAGAGGAAGGUCCCCCACAUUGGAACUGAGACGCGGUCCAAACUCCUACGGGAGGCAGCAGUGAGGAAUAUUGGUCAAUGGGCGAGAGCCUGAACCAGCCAAGUAGCGUGAAGGAUGACUGCCCUAUGGGUUGUAAACUUCUUUUAUAAAGGAAUAAAGUCGGGUAUGGAUACCCGUUUGCAUGUACUUUAUGAAUAAGGAUCGGCUAACUCCGUGCCAGCAGCCGCGGUAAUACGGAGGAUCCGAGCGUUAUCCGGAUUUAUUGGGUUUAAAGGGAGCGUAGAUGGAUGUUUAAGUCAGUUGUGAAAGUUUGCGGCUCAACCGUAAAAUUGCAGUUGAUACUGGAUAUCUUGAGUGCAGUUGAGGCAGGCGGAAUUCGUGGUGUAGCGGUGAAAUGCUUAGAUAUCACGAAGAACUCCGAUUGCGAAGGCAGCCUGCUAAGCUGCAACUGACAUUGAGGCUCGAAAGUGUGGGUAUCAAACAGGAUUAGAUACCCUGGUAGUCCACACGGUAAACGAUGAAUACUCGCUGUUUGCGAUAUACAGCAAGCGGCCAAGCGAAAGCGUUAAGUAUUCCACCUGGGGAGUACGCCGGCAACGGUGAAACUCAAAGGAAUUGACGGGGGCCCGCACAAGCGGAGGAACAUGUGGUUUAAUUCGAUGAUACGCGAGGAACCUUACCCGGGCUUAAAUUGCAGAUGAAUUACGGUGAAAGCCGUAAGCCGCAAGGCAUCUGUGAAGGUGCUGCAUGGUUGUCGUCAGCUCGUGCCGUGAGGUGUCGGCUUAAGUGCCAUAACGAGCGCAACCCUUGUUGUCAGUUACUAACAGGUUCCGCUGAGGACUCUGACAAGACUGCCAUCGUAAGAUGUGAGGAAGGUGGGGAUGACGUCAAAUCAGCACGGCCCUUACGUCCGGGGCUACACACGUGUUACAAUGGGGGGUACAGAGGGCCGCUACCACGCGAGUGGAUGCCAAUCCCCAAAACCUCUCUCAGUUCGGACUGGAGUCUGCAACCCGACUCCACGAAGCUGGAUUCGCUAGUAAUCGCGCAUCAGCCACGGCGCGGUGAAUACGUUCCCGGGCCUUGUACACACCGCCCGUCAAGCCAUGGGAGCCGGGGGUACCUGAAGUGCGUAACCGCGAGGAGCGCCCUAGGGUAAAACUGGUGACUGGGGCUAAGUCAUAAC